rnacentral:rRNA from 2 species
UCGAAACAAAGUAGAAGUACUGGAAGUAUUUCUGGGG